UCUGGUCGGUCGCCAUCAGGGGCUCGGUCUUCACCCGGAGGCAAUUUCCAGUCACACAUAUUGACGUCUUGGUUCGUCUACUCUUUGUUUUCAUCGCUUAACGGCACAGGGAAGCGGCAAUGACUGAGACCGCGCAAGGAACAACAUCUGAAAGCGGCUGCGUCAACCACUACAAGCGGCUUUACCGGGACUGCCGCGACGGGAACGGAGUCGUCGAUGACGGUUUUCCAGCCGUCGGGCAGGCGUAGAGCGGAAGCCAUCGCCGCUACCCGUGUUGUGGUGCCUGGCGCACGGGAAGAGGAUCGCGAAGAAGGAGCCCGAUGUCCUACCUGCCUGUGCUGCUGCGUGACUGUUGUGCUUGUGCUAACACAGCUGGUCUUGGCUUUAGCUUUGUUCUACCUGACCACCACAGGUGAGCCUCUGAACAACCUGUGUCUAUAUUAUAAGCAAAUUAAGAUUAUAUACUGA